GCCAAAUAUUCAGCCUAAAUGCACCCCAUGUUCACCCCCCACGUUAUAAUAAAAAUAAAACAUUUUAAUUUUUAAGUAGAGGAGAUCAAAAAAAGUUUAAGCGCUUAAGAAACAGUACCGCAAGGGAAAAAUGAAACAAAAAUGAAAUAAAUUUCCAGCCCAUAAUAGCAGAGAUUAAAACUCGUACCUUUUGCAUAAUGGUCUAGCUAGUAUUAUCAAGCAAAAUGAAAUUUUAGUCUGACCCCCCGAAACUAAGCGAGCUACUUCAAAACAGCCUCAAGAGCCAACCCGUCUCUGUAGCAAUAGAGUGGGAAGAUUUUCAAGUAGAAGUGACAAACCUACCGAGCUUAGAGAUAGCUGGUUAUUCAGGAAAAGAAUUUUAGUUCUACUUUAAAUCCUACUAUGUACUACAACAAACAGAUUUAAAAGUUAUUCAAUUAAGGUACAGCUUAAUUGAAAAAGGAAACAACCUAAAUAUUAGGGUAAGCAACAAGUACUCCAGUAAGUGGGCCUAAAAGCAGCCACCUUUAAAAAAGCGUUAAAGCUUAGUCCAAAUAUAUAAUAAAUUCCACGAACAAUCACGACCCCUUCCCCCCUACUGAAUGACCCUAUAUUAAUAUAGAACCCAUCAUGCUAGAACUAGUAACAAGAAUAUAUUCUCCAAAAUGUAAGCUUACGCCAAAAUGGAAUUUCCACUGGUAAUUAACGAAUAUGAACCAACUACAACAACACACCAAGAAAAUUCUGUUAGAACAUUCGUUAACCUUACACUAGAACACUUCUGGAAAGAUUAAAAGAGGGGGAAGGAACUCGGCAAAUUUCGACCCCGCCUGUUUACCAAAAACAUCGCCUCUUGACAACAUAAGAGGUCCUGCCUGCCCAGUGAUAAAAUUCAACGGCCGCGGUAUCCUGACCGUGCGAAGGUAGCAUAAUCACUUGUUCUUUAAAUAGGGACUCGUAUCAACGGCAUCACGAGGGUUGCACUGUCUCCCCCCUCCAAUCAGUAAAACUGAUCCCCCCAUGAAAAAGUGGGGAUAAUAUUAUAAGACGAGAAGACCCCAUGGAGCUUUAAACCAAAUAGCAACUUAGCAAACUUCUUCAAGCUACAAAACCAUGCUAGCGGUUUUAGGUUGGGGCGACCCCGGAGUAAAAACUAACCUCCACAACGAAAAGGAUUAAACCUUUACCUAAGAGCUACAACUCUAAGAAUUAGAAAACUAACGAAUUGACCCGACAUCGAUCAAUGAACCAAGUUACCCUGGGGAUAACAGCGCAAUCUACUUCAAGAGUCCAUAUCGACAAGUAGGCUUACGACCUCGAUGUUGGAUCAGGGUAUCCAAGUGGUGCA
rnacentral:rRNA from 1 species